GGAAUAUAAGAAUCCGUCUCUUAAUUUUUUACUAAAAAAAUUAGGAAUCGGUUUUUAAAACUCUUAUUUAAAAACCGUUUCUUAACUUUUUUAGUUAAAAGUUAAGAGACGGAUUCUUAUAUUCC
rfam:Brassica napus, WGS project CCCW01000000 data, contig: 1655